rfam:Triticum aestivum genome assembly, contig: Triticum_aestivum_CS42_TGACv1_scaffold_642541_T_1BL-0.163179_1AL-0.118622
AUUAUACUCCCUCCGUCUAGAAAUAUUUUUCAAAGAAAUAGAUGUAUCUAGAUGUAUUUUAGUUUUAGAUACAUCUGUUUUCUUCCAUUUCCACGACAAGUAAUUCCGAGCAGAGGGAGUAUUUA